GACGAACUGUGCGAACGUUAUUCGGAAUCACUGGGCUUACAGGGUGCGUAGGCGGCUUGUUAAGUAGGGUGUGAAAUCCCCCGGCCCAACCGGGGAAUGGCGCUCUAAACUAGCAGGCUUGAGUGAGCUAGGGGUACGCGGAACUUCCAGUGGAGCGGUGAAAUGUGUUGAUAUUGGAAGGAACACCGGAGGCGAAAGCGGUGUACUGGGGCUCAACUGACGCUGAGGCACGAAAGCCAGGGUAGCGAACGGG
rnacentral:rRNA from 1 species